UUAGUACUCCCUCCGUUUCAUAAUUCUUGUCUUAAAUUUGUCUAAAAACGAAUGUAUCUAUUCCUAAAAGGUGUCUAGAUACAUGUAAGAUUUCGACAAAAAUUAUGGAACGGAGAAAGUAAUAA
rfam:Brachypodium distachyon strain Bd21 chromosome 1, whole genome shotgun sequence.